rfam:Desulfovibrio sp. X2 ctg52, whole genome shotgun sequence.
GAUUAAGAUAGUAAGGGCAACUGGUGGAUGCCUUGGCGCUAGAAGGCGAUGAAGGACGUGGUAGGCUGCGAUAUGCCUCGGGGAGCCGCCAAACAGGCUUUGAUCCGAGGAUUUCCGAAUGGGGCAACCCGACGGGAGUUAUGUCCCGCCGUCCCUUGGCUGAAUACAUAGGCCUUGGGAAGCUAACCCGGGGAAGUGAAACAUCUCAGUACCCGGAGGAAGAGAAAUCAACCGAGAUUCCCUGAGUAGCGGCGAGCGAACGGGGAACAGCCCAAACCGUGGUCAUUCGUGGCCGCGGGGUUGUGGGGCCGUCAUACGUGAUCCGUGAUUAGAUAGCAGAAGCAUCUGGGAAGGUGCGCCAUAGAGGGUGAAAGUCCCGUAUGCGAAGUCGAAAUCGGCACAGGCGGUACCCGAGUAGGGCGGGGCACGUGAAACCCCGUCUGAAUCUGGGGGGACCAUCCUCCAAGGCUAAAUACUCACUAGCGACCGAUAGUGAACCAGUACCGUGAGGGAAAGGUGAAAAGAACCCCUGUUAGGGGAGUGCAAUAGAACCUGAAACCAGUUGCCUACAAGCAGUCGGAGCGGACUUGUUCCGUGACGGCGUGCCUUUUGCAUAAUGAGCCAGCGAGUUACUCUGUCGUGCGAGGUUAAGCGUGAGCGGAGCCGAAGCGAAAGCGAGUCUGAAUAGGGCGAACAGUACGGCGGAGUAGACCCGAAGCCGGGUGAUCUAUCCAUGAGCAGGUUGAAGCUCGGGUAAAACCGAGUGGAGGACCGAACCAGUGUAAGUUGAAAAUUACUUGGAUGACUUGUGGAUAGGGGUGAAAGGCCAAUCAAACUCGGUGAUAGCUGGUUCUCCCCGAAAUAUAUUGAGGUAUAGCCUCAGGAUAGACUUGCGGAGGUAGAGCACUGAAAGGGCUAGGGGGCCUACCAGCUUACCAAACCCUAUCAAACUCCGAAUGCCGCCAAGUCGUUUCCUGGGAGUCAGGCUGCGGGUGCGAAGGUCCGUAGCCGAGAGGGAAAGAGCCCAGACCGCCAGCUAAGGUUCCUAAAUCCAUGCUCAGUGGUUAAGGUAGUGGGACCGCUUAGACAGCCAGGAGGUUGGCUUAGAAGCAGCCAUCCUUUAAAGAAAGCGUAAUAGCUCACUGGUCUAGUGGUCCUGCGCCGAAAAUGUAUCGGAGCUAAGCAUGGUACCGAAGCUGCGGAUGCAUCGUAAGAUGCGUGGUAGGGGAGCGUUCUCAUACGGGAUGAAGGGAAAGGCGUAAGCCGUCCUGGACUUGUGAGAAGUGAUUAUGCUGGCAUGAGUAACGAUAAGGCAAGUGAGAAACUUGCCCGCCGUAAGCCCAAGGUUUCCUGGGUAAAGUUAAUCUUCCCAGGGUGAGUCGGUCCCUAAGGCGAGGUCGAAAGACGUAGCUGAUGGAAAACGGGUUAAUAUUCCCGUACCCGCGCGAGGGCGCGAUGGGGGGACGCAGAAGGGUAGGUCGUCCGGGUGUUGGAUGUCCCGGUGCAAGCGUGUAGGCUGGUCUCGUAGGCAAAUCCGCGAGACAUCGCCGAGACGCGAUGCCGUGUCCUUAUGGACUGAAGCGAUUGAGCCCAUGCUGCCAAGAAAAUCCUCUAAGUUUACCUCGUGUGGACCGUACCGCAAACCGACACAGGUGGGCGGGGUGAGUAACCCAAGGCGUUCGAGAAAACUCUGGUCAAGGAACUCGGCAAAUUAGCCCCGUAAGUUCGCAAUAAGGGGCGCUUCCUGAGGUCAGGAGAUUUACUUUCCAAAGCUUCGGGAAGCCGCAGUGAAAAGGUGGGGGCGACUGUUUACUAAAAACAUAGGUCUCUGCGAAGUCGCAAGACGACGUAUAGGGACUGACGCCUGCCCGGUGCCGGAAGGUUAAGGGGUGAGGUCAGCUUCGGCGAAGCCUUAAACCGAAGCCCCGGUAAACGGCGGCCGUAACUAUAACGGUCCUAAGGUAGCGAAAUUCCUUGUCAGGUAAGUUCUGACCUGCACGAAUGGCGUAACGAUCUCCACACUGUCUCGACCAGAGACUCGGUGAAAUUGGAUUGGCGGUGAAAAUACCGUCUACCCGCAGAAGGACGGAAAGACCCUGUGCACCUUUACUACAACUUGACGUUGUGUUUUGGGCUGGCAUGUGUAGGAUAGGUGGGAGGCUGUGAACUCUGUACGCCAGUAUGGAGGGAGCCAACCUUGAAAUACCACCCUUGCCAGUCUAAGACCCUAACCUAUAGCAGUUAUCCUGCGUGGGGACAGCGUCUGGUGGGUAGUUUGACUGGGGCGGUCGCCUCCCAAAAAGUAACGGAGGCUUGCAAAGGUUCCCUCAGGCUGAUUGGAAACCAGCCGUUGAGUGCAAAGGCAUAAGGGAGCUUGACUGUGAGGCAGACAUGCCGAGCAGGGACGAAAGUCGGUCUUAGUGAUCCGGUGGUCCCGCAUGGAAGGGCCAUCGCUCAUAGGAUAAAAGGUACGCCGGGGAUAACAGGCUGAUCGCAUCCAAGAGUUCACAUCGACGAUGCGGUUUGGCACCUCGAUGUCGGCUCAUCACAUCCUGGGGCUGGAGCAGGUCCCAAGGGUACGGCUGUUCGCCGUUUAAAGUGGUACGCGAGCUGGGUUUAAAACGUCGUGAGACAGUUUGGUCCCUAUCCUCUGUGGGCGCAGGAGAAUUGAGAGGGGCUGUCCCUAGUACGAGAGGACCGGGAUGGACGAACCUCUAGUGUUCCAGUUGUCGCGCCAGCGGCACCGCUGGGUAGCUAUGUUCGGAAAGGAUAACCGCUGAAGGCAUCUAAGCGGGAAACCUGCCUCAAGAUAAGUUCUCCCUGGACUUCGGUCCCUGAAGACCCCAGGUAGACCACCUGGUUGAUAGGCCGGAGGUGCAAGUGUGGCGACACACUCAGCUGACCGGUACUAAUAGGUCGUGCGUCUUUAUCCA